UACGUAGGGGGCUAGCGUUGUCCGGAAUCAUUGGGCGUAAAGAGCGUGUAGGCGGCCCGGUAAGUCCGCUGUAAAAGUCAAAGGCUCAACCUUUGAAUGUCAGUGGAUACUGCCGGGCUAGAGUCCGGAAGAGGCGAGUGGAACUCCUGGUGUAGCGGUGGAAUGCGUAGAUAUCGGAAGGAACAUCAGUGGCGAAAAGCGACUUCCUGGACCAGUACCGACGUCAGGCACGAAAGCGUGGGGAGCAAACAGG
rnacentral:rRNA from 1 species